GCAGCGGAGCGUUGUGGUUUAAUUCGAUGCUACACGAAGAACUUACCAGGGUUUGACAUAGCAGUGGUAGGGAAGAGAAAUCGGACCGACCUUCGGGGAGCUGUUACAGGUGUUGCAUGGCUGUCGUCAGCUCGUGUCGUGAGAUGUUCGGUUAAGUCCGCUAACGAGCGCAACCCGCGUUGUGUGUUAUAUGUGUCACACAAUACCGCCGGUAUUAAGCCGGAGGAAGGUGCGGAUGACGUCAAGUCAGCAUGACCUUUAUAUCCAGGGCUACACACACGCUACAAUGGACAGUACAACAGGUUGCCAAGCCGCGAGGCGGAGCCAAUCCUCUAAAGCUGUCCUCAGUUCAGAUUGCAGGCUGCAACUCGCCUGCAUGAAGUUGGAGUUGCUAGUAACCGCAGGUCAGCUAUACUGCGGUGAAUACGUUCCCGGGGAUU
rnacentral:rRNA from 1 species